rnacentral:lncRNA from 1 species
AUGACAUGGAAGAAAAUAUUCGUUUUUCUUUGUUUUAUUUUGUUUUUUUUGAGACAGGGUUUCACUCUAGCCCAGGCUGGCCUUCCUCAGCCUUCUGAGUGCUGGGAUUACAGGUGUGUGCCAUCACACCUGGUGAAAAUAUGUUUAAGAAUAAUGAACAGGGCCGGGCAUUUAGCUCAGUGGUUCUGCUGCCUGCCUUGCAAGCACAAGGUCCUGAGUUCGAUCCCUGGUACCAAAAAAGAGAGAGAAAAAGAAAAUCCAGUACCAUAUUGGUCUUCAUUGAGCUAUAACUGCAGUCCUUUUUAA